ensembl:lncRNA
GUGGGACCCGGGAUCCCUCCCGCUGCCUCCGCCCCCGCCCCCGCUCCCGCUCCAUCCCUUCCGAGGACCGCGCGGCCAGGUCCCCGACCGGAUUCCAGGAGACGCGUCCUUAUCUGACGCCUGCGGGCUGAGCAGAGACGAUGCUUGGAAACAUCCGAUUCACCUGGGGAUCGGAGGCCGCGGGAACCCACCUAAACCCCGCAGGGGCUGCGCCUCUUGGGCUCCGCGGCCAAAGUCUGCCGGGCUGUCGGAGGUGGUUUGGAAGUGGCAUCGCCUAUGGCCAAGACCGCGGGUUCUGCGGACAGAGAGGAGCCCUGGGUUCGCUUUCUGCCUCAUCCAUUUUCCAGCUAGGUGACCUUGGGCAAGCAGGAUAGCCUGGAUCUUCUUCCCACGUGGCAGCUGGGUCCCAGGAAGGACAUUCUGAGAGAUCAAGCCCUGAUGUAUACGCACUUCUCAAGCCUCUGCUUGAGUCGCACUUGCCGAUGACUAAGGCCCUGGGACCUCAAGUACAAUGCUGGGAAGAAGAGUUGACCCAGACAUUUUUGCCUUGCUCCUGAUUUCAAAAGGGAUAUUUCAAACAUUUCACCUUGAAGAAUGAUAUUUGCUGUAAUUAUUUGGUAAAAACUCUUUAUCAGAUUUGUCACUGUGGCUAAGCGCAGGUCAGUUAUCUUCAAUUUAGAAGAUCCUUCUUACCUCUGCUGGCCACCAAAUGGCCCUUCGAUUCUGGCCUUCCCUCCUAACAGUGAUGUACUGACGCCUGGGUACCAGGUACAGCGCCUGGAGGUCAACAGUAGGCCUGAAGAAGCCCAGCCAUUGGAGGUCUAGCUGGUUGUCAAUCCACAUCCCUUUUCUCCCACUCAAAACUCACUUUGUCUAAAACACUCUUCCUGAUUACCAGCCUGUGAUCCACCCUGAGUGCGGGGACCACAUCUUUUCAUCUCUCUAUCCCCAGGGCCCAGCCCAAAGCCUGCACAGAGAAGUUGCUCAAAAAUGCUUGUGAAACUGAGUUUGCCCAACCCAAUUCUGAGCUCUUUCUUGGCUCAGUUGAUCCUGAUUUUUAAAGUCGUUUCUCCAAAACGCUCUUGAGCCUUUUUUUGUAUGCGGCACAUGCAUCUGCUGUGUCUCACAAGACAGACAGUGGUUGCUUUGCAGAUAAGAACUGUGUCUACGGAGGAGUUUCUUUUGACUUUCCAAUUUCAGAGGCUGUCCGACACUAGCCCAAAGCCCCUUCAGCGUCUUGUCCAUCUGUGUUCUCAUCCACACUCCUACUCACAAGUUGGAAACUCUAGGUAAGCCUCACUCUUCAAGGUUUCCAGGAGGCCACACUGCGCCGUGCUUUUAUGCCAUACCUUUGCUCGUAGCAUGCCCUCUGCAACCCUCUUCUCAUGAACGCCCUCUCUGUUUUUCACAUGGUACCCAACUGUCAAAUCCUUGGUGAAGCCACCCUUACUCUCUUCCUUCCCGUCCACAUCCCUUGGGGGUCACUCUUUCCUCCUCUGUGCUCUUCAGAUGUUGUAUACGUGCCUUUUUAAUUUUUAUUUAAUUACUUUUAACUGAGGCAACGUUGGUUUAUAACCUCAUACAAAUUUCAGGUGUACCUCUUUCUAUUUCAAUUUCUGUGUAGACUACCGUGCCUUUUUAAAAAAACCUUUUUUUUUAACCCCCAAAUGCUUCACUAUCUAUUUCCUAAAAUCAGGACAAUUCUCUUACAGAGCUACAGUACUGUUGUCAAAAUCAGGCUAUUUAACAUGCAUACAAAUACAUUUUCUAAUCUACACUUCAUUUUAAAAUUUUACCCAUCAUUCCUUUUUUUAACUGGAUCGUUAACAAUUGUCACGUAGUUUUAUAGAUGUUUACAUUUCUCUGCCUCCCGUAUGCUUGCACGCACACAAUGCCCCUAAGAGUCUGGGCUUGUAUCUUUUAUCCGCAAUUCCAGCAAGGUGCCUUGUCAGUGAGUUUGUCUUCUGUGUGGUGUGCACGCGUGUCUGUGUUUAAUUAACGCGGUUAUAUGGCUCGUCUUCAGUUCCUCUGUCUUCCCAGCGUGGCCCUCCCUUCCUCCCCCUGCAUCAUGCUCCGUCAUUCUGGGGACCCACGCCCUCCCUCUCUCGCUAAACCCUUGCACUAACCUCAUUUCUGAGCCUUCAUUCAUACGAUGUAGUCAGUGACUCGUGGCGGCUUGUGGUGUCCCUCUUCCCAGGGAUAGACACUGAGGGAUAUAAAAAAUGAAUGCUACGCCCCUCCUGUCCUCCAGGGCCUCCACUUCUCAUGUUCUGUGUGUUUUCUUUUCUCGCCCAAACGCCAGCACCACCUGUGCCCACUGUCUGUGCUCGAUGACCGCUGGUUCGGUGAAUGAAUGCAAGCACAAAACGGUGGCCCUCGAGAUGAAGAGCCCAGGGUUCGACCACUCUCCAGUCGGGCCACUUGGCCACAUAAUCAAUCACUGGACACUAUGUUCCAAACCAGGGGUAAUGAGGCAGCUGCCGCCGUGUCCACUUCCUGUUCUGGGGCCUCAGCGUCUGAAGAGGGCAGACAGCGCGCUCAGGACCUGCCCCUGCCCCGGCCCCUUCGUAUCACGAAUUCGCUCGUCCUGGAUGGUUCAGCACUUCACAUUUUCAAAAUUUCAGCCAUUGUGUUUAUUGAAAGUGCAUCGACCACAAAACACCGCAGUUCACCUCUCUCUCUUUCUCGCUCUCUCUCUCGUGGAUGGGAAGAUUAUUCUGAAUCUAUGAAGGCAUUUAUUCACAGUGGCUUCUGAGUCAGGCUCUGCACCUACUUCAAUUUUAGAUGUUUUUCUGAAUCUCCUGUUGUGUGUGGCAGUUCAGGAACAGACACUGUGAGACGGAGAGGGGGACUCUGGAUCCGGAUUCAGGCAGCCCGGGUUCAAAUCCUAGGCUUUCCCCUCCCCGUGCCUAGCUGAGUGACCGUGGGCACGUCAUUUCACUUCCAGAAGCCUCGCCUUCGUGGUCCAUCAAAUGAAAUACUAUCUCCCUCUCCAGAGUUGUUGUAAGGAUGAGCUGAAAUGGCGUGUCUGAGCACAGCACAGAGCCGUCUCCCGUUUGUGUACAUUUCCUUCAGUUCAUGCACGUGGCUUCUUUUCCAGGUGAAUUCCAGACUUCGGGAGUUUGUAGACUAGGAAAAUCUCAAAACACAUUUUGAUGAGCAUACUUUUGCCAAGUUUUUAUUUUGCCAACUUUUAAUGUUGCCAAGUAAGAACAGUAUUAAAAAAACCAGCACAACUCACCUUCAUCCAUUUCCACUAAAUUUCAUAAAAGAAUAUUUAAAAAAAAAUCAAGAGGACAUCGUUACGAGUCAAAAAUGGAUGACGUUUAGCUUUACGAAAACCUCUCUGUAUUGCUCUUACUCAUCUUAUCUUAGAGAUGAGUGAACACUUGGUCUGCAGAUCAGUAUUUGGGAGCCGUCGCUCAUCCCGGACUCGCAGGGCUUUCCAGACUAGCGGUUCCCCGCUGUAGACGCCUCACCCCGAGGUGGGGAGGCGGAGGCGGAGGCGGAGGAUGAGCGAGCAGCACGUCUUUCGGUGCAAAGCGUAAGGAACUGCUGGGGUGUGAUCGCCGAGCCCAGGGACCUCGGGAUGUUCAGAGACGAGAGCGGUUGUGAGAAACUGAUGUGCACGAUAUAAAGUAUGUGAAGAGAACAGAGGCAGAACAUUUCCUGAGUUCCAGGUGGAAUACUGGCCGUGUUUGCAUUUUGGGUUUUUAAAAAAAGAUUGCAAGCAAGCGAUCAAAACUUGCCACAUCCGUCACUGAAGAGUGUGCGGGCUCGUGACGGUUUCACUCUGACGCAGCUCCCAAUUGCCUGCGGUUUUUCAGACACAUCCCCCUACAAUAUCCUUUGGGGUCAAAACAUUCCAUAGCUGGUCUAAGGGCAGAGGUGAAUCGUUUUUGAGAAGUUUGGGCUCACUCUGCUCAGCUGGUUUUGCUUAGGGGAGUGUGGAAAGAUCCCUAGGGGUUCUUUUCUAGGAGAAAAAAAUUACACACGCACACCACAGACACACACAUCAUUUGGGGCCUUUUAAAGUCGGGUUAACUCCUACCUGGGGAGGGAACCUCGGCCAGACGGGAAAUCUUAGUGGAUGACAAUUGAACUGCACUGACCCAUCUGGUGUCCGGAAGGAGGCGCAGAGCAGGCCUGUGCCAACUCUGGGUCCACGUGGGAGCACGCUGCCCUGUGCUGGGGGCCUGCUCCUGAGCCCCAGGUACUGCUGAUUUUGUAGAAUAAAAGUCACAAGCACUUACUAUGUGUGAGUCCUCUGUGAAGUACCUCGCUUCUAUUGUCUUGUCUAACCCUCACAUAGCAUUUUGGGCCAAGCCCUAAUCAGAAGGCCCAUUUCACAGAUGAGAAAACUGAGGCUUACACAGCAUUAGGCAAAGGUGUCCAAAGUCGCACUGCGGCCCGUGAGCGGUAGAGCUGGGACAUAAGCGCAGGUCUUUCUGAACAGUAACUACUAGGAUGUUUAGCUCCUAAAAUCUGAGGUCUGAAAUGAGUGGGAAAGGAGCUUGAACCACCCGUCUGAGGUGGCAUUUGGAAAAGGAGACCUUGCCCACCACACACACACACGCACAGGCUCUUUAAACUCUCUGAAGCACUCCUAAAACACACAGCGUUUCCCCUCCUCCCUGUAAAAAGGCAACCUAGGAAACUUGCGAGAGAAUAAUUUAGCAGCGUCUAUCCAAAGCCUCAAAAUAUUUAUGCCCUUUGACCCAGAAAUUGCCCUGCUAGGAAUCUGCGCCGUAACCAGGAUGUUCCAGGCUUCUCCGGCCCAUGGGUACAAGGGCUGUGCUCAAGCGUCACCUCCUUAGCGGACUGUCUUGCCCCGGCUUUGCCCUCAGUGACUAAAACACCAGCUGACUCACUGAGGGCCCUCCACAAAGGUUCCCGAAGGAACAGAUGAGCUUAUGUUACAUAAAUACCUCCAAUCUCAAGACUCUGCUCAGGCAGCAGAUCGAGUCUUUUACAAAUGUCCCCCUCCCUCACGCUGCUCAGGUUCCCUUGAAGUUUCCAUAAGGUGGUCCUGCUCAUCGCGCAGCACGGCUGCCGGCAGGUAGACGGGGACACUCAGGCAUGUCCCUUGAGGCCAGAGUCCACAAAGCCUGGCCUCCCCAGGACCCUCCAAGGAGCCGCUCCUGCGGUGUCACCGGAACCUGCCGUCCUCCCCA